rnacentral:rRNA from 1 species
AACGAACGCUGGCGGCAGGCUUAACACAUGCAAGUCGAACGCCCCGCAAGGGGAGUGGCAGACGGGUGAGUAACGCGUGGGAACAUACCCUUUUCUACGGAAUAGCUCUGGGAAACUGGAAUUAAUACCGUAUACGCCCUACGGGGGAAAGAUUUAUCGGGGAAGGAUUGGCCCGCGUUGGAUUAGCUAGUUGGUGGGGUAAAGGCCUACCAAGGCGACGAUCCAUAGCUGGUCUGAGAGGAUGAUCAGCCACAUUGGGACUGAGACACGGCCCAAACUCCUACGGGAGGCAGCAGUGGGGAAUAUUGGAAAAUGGGCGAAAGCCUGAUCAAGCCAUGCCGCGUGAGUGAUGAAGGCCUUAGGGUUGUAAAGCUCUUUCACCGAUGAAGAUAAUGACGGUAGUCGGAGAAGAAGCCCCGGCUAACUUCGUG